CUCAAACUGUUAAGACAGCUGCAGUUUCUAAAGAAAUACAAAGAUUGCCGUGGAUGCACUCAAAGGUUUCAUUGUUUUAACACCUUUAAGGGAGAAAAAAAGCUUCAGAGAAUAAAGGAGAAUGUCCUGGAGAGCUCAGUGGGAACAGGAGGAAGGCAUCUUCCACCCACAGUUGUUCUUGUCAUUGGAGAAGACCGCUGGCUGCUCUGAAGACCCACUGCCUUACAUGUCACUUUUGCUUUUUCACCAAGAGUGAGAAUUUACUUCCUUUGGGCCUAGAUUUAAACCUGUUAGUUUUCUGUUUGUCACCAAGUUCAAUUCUGCCAUUUUGUCCAGGCCACCUUGGUUCUUGUAAUGGUGUGUGGCGCUGCUACU
rnacentral:lncRNA from 1 species